rfam:Brevundimonas sp. Leaf363 contig_1, whole genome shotgun sequence.
UCAGCGAUGCGGGCCCCUCUGGCGCUGCGCGGCGUCCGGCUUCCCCCUUCCCCUGCCGGGCCCCUGCGCGCGCGAUGUCGGAUCGCGAUG